UAAUAAUAAUAAUAAUAAUUGUCCAAUUACAUUUAACAAUACUUUGGGGUUGUUUUCCCCCCAUCUUUUAGCACAAGAGUAAAAAAUGAAGAAGGAAGGAGGUGCCCAGAAGGCCCUUGCUGCCUGUCCUUGUUCCAAUGGUGGGGAAUGGUGGGUGUCGAGAGCCAAGCUGUUAACUGACUGCCUGAUAAAAGCUAUCCGCAUGUUAAGAAGAAUAAAAGGCCUGUGUGCUAAAAGGGUGACAUACAAUUAUUGCCUAACCUAUUAAAGAAAUAAACCUGUUACAACC